AGAUAGAGACAAAUUGGUCAUCUGGUGGAGCUUACUCGCUGUCAUGGAUUAUAAAUAUAUAUUUUAAUAUUUAAUAUAUUGCAUUUAUAGAAUGGACCAAUGUACUAAUUUUCCAAUUGAAGAAUGGGUGCCUGAACUAAUGCCGUAUACACAUUUUAGGACUGUGACCAAAAGGUUAAAGGAACACUGUAGGCACUUUAUCUCAUUGAAGUGGUUACAGUGGCUAGAUUCCCCUGGAAGUACACUUCCAUUCAGCAUUAAACCCUUUUUAAUGUUAAACUAAAGUCCCCAGCAGCCCUUCUCCUUUGAGCUGCUUGGGCUAAUGAGGAAACAAAGAUUUUUUAUUUCAUUUUCUUUGUGUUGAUUUGGGAUAUUAUAUAGUUCUUCAUAAUAAGCUUGGGAAAAUCUUAGCUAUAGUCUCUGGGUAUAUGUUCUUUUUUAAUACUUACGAUCCUAUUCUUCCCUGAUUUCCCUUUGAGUUUAUUAGUUAGCCAUUUUUUUAUUUUAUUGUUGUCG